GAUGAACGCUGGCGGCGUGCCUAAUACAUGCAAGUCGAGCGAACGGACGAGAAGCUUGCUUCUCUGAUGUUAGCGGCGGACGGGUGAGUAACACGUGGAUAACCUACCUAUAAGACUGGGAUAACUUCGGGAAACCGGAGCUAACACCGGAUGAUAUUUUGAACCGCAUGGUUCAAAAGUGAAAGACGGUCUUGCUGUCACUUAUAGAUGGAUCCGCGCUGCAUUAGCUAGUUGGUGAGGUAACGGCUUACCAAGGCAACGAUGCAUAGCCGACCUGAGAGGGUGAUCGGCCACACUGGAACUGAGACACGGUCCAGACUCCUACGGGAGGCAGCAGUAGGGAAUCUUCCGCAAUGGGCGAAAGCCUGACGGAGCAACGCCGCGUGAGUGAUGAAGGUCUUCGGAUCGUAAAACUCUGUUAUUAGGGAAGAACAUAUGUGUAAGUAACUGUGCACAUCUUGACGGUACCUAAUCAGAAAGCCACGGCUAACUACGUG
rnacentral:rRNA from 1 species